GAAUCCAAUAGCCAGUUAUAGUUUCUGUAAAGUUCCAUGCGACUCAGCAAUAGAUUUAAACAUCUAGACGGGGAUACAUUCAAUAUUAUGAUAAUAUUAUACGGAAGUGAUGGGUGGAGAUUUUUUGAGAACUAAAUGAGAAAAUCACGGAAUGUUUUAAUCGACUGUCCUCAGGAUCAGAGUUGUUUUCUCUCGCAUCCCACUACAGUGGCACACAAUUAAAAAUAAAUAGGGGUGGC